rnacentral:tRNA from 5 species
ACUAUUUUGGCAGAAAAAUGUAAUGAUUUUAGAAUUCAUUUAUAUAUAAUUUAUUAUAUAGAUAGUA